GCAGGGAAUAUUGCACAAUGGGCGAAAGCCUGAUGCAGCAACGCCGCGUGAGGGAUGAAGGUCUUCGGAUUGUAAACCUCUUUUUCGGGGGAAGAGAAGGGACGGUACCCCGAGAAUAAGCAACGGCUAACUACGUGCCAGCAGCCGCGGUAAUACGUAGGUUGCGAGCGUUAUUCGGAUUUACUGGGCGUAAAGCGCACCGAGGUGGCUUCUUAAGUUGGAUGUGAAAUCUCCCGGCUUAACUGGGAGGCGCCAUUCAAAACUGGGGAGCUUGAGACCAGCAGGGGAAAGUGGAAUUCCCGGUGUAGUGGUGGAAUGCGUAGAGAUCGGGAGGAACACCAGUGGCGAAAGCGACUUUCUGGGCUGCGUCUGACACUCUAGUGCGAAAGCGUGGGGAGCAAACAGGAUUAGAAACCCCGGUAGUCC
rnacentral:rRNA from 1 species